AUGGCAAAUCUCACGCUGUACAUUGAUCACCUGUCCAACCUUUGCCUAGAGUGUGAUCCCCAGUUCCUUCAAGAGUUCCAUCUUUACCUGUCUAUAAAGAGGAGGAGGAGGAGGAGGAGGAGGAGGAGAGACAUCUGGGAUAACCACAUAUCAAAGAUUAACACCAGAGCAGUUGCCAGAGGAGCUGGAGAAAGAGGAGGAAAAAAUGCAGCACUGCAGAAUUAAGCUGAUAAUCUAUUGCAGUGGAUCUCCAAACAUAACCAUGACAUCCUGGAGCAGAUCAUAGAAACAGAAGAUGAAUGCUGAGGUUGUUAACAGAUGAAAUGCUGCAUAAAUUGGUGUCUUCUCCAUUAUUUCUUGUAGUCAUUAUGAAGUCAGAUACUCUGGAAAAUAAUGAAGGGGACUCAAUCAGAAAUUACAAGAACUUCAUUUCCACCUUUAAUGGGUCUUGUGUUCAGAAUAUUAUUAUUUAAUGAAGUUCAGUUAAAUGGAUUCUUUUAACCAAUUUUGAUAAAUUGGUAUUGAUUUUUAAUGUGUAAUUCAGGUUCUGUUAGGUGCAGUAUCUUCAUCUGCUGAUUCUGCCUAGCGUAUUCUACAGUAACACUUCUAAAGUGGACUAGAUUGUCAAAGAGGUAUUAGUACACUGUUAUAUAAUGGAGUCUGCAUUAAUCUCACCCCCAGUUAGAAGUGGGCUUUUCAGAAAAGUAAAAACUAAGCCUUUACCCUCCUCUGUUUUCUUAUAUCUACCGUUACUCAAAUAAUCACAUUUUGAUAGUGUAACGAGUAUUAACCUCUGGGCCAGGUUGGAAAUGAAAUCAAUUUUUGGUACUACUUGCUGUUGGCAAGGAUUAGCCUUAUGAAAAUAUGGUGUGUGUCUCUGACAAUGCAUGGGACAUCUAAAUUGAUCAUCAAUAAUUUACAUACCAAAUUUAUAUAUUAGUGGAUGGUAAAAGCUUGAGGUAUGUAUAUGUACAUAUGUGUAUACAUGCACACAUAUACUGGAGUGGAUCAACCUUUUAUCAUCCAAAUGCAUAUAGGUAUGUAUUAAUAAAAGCUGGGACUCAUAAAUAUAUCA
rnacentral:lncRNA from 1 species